rnacentral:rRNA from 1 species
CGCAGUUUUUAAAGUCUAACCAUUGCCAAGUCGAACGGUAACAGUGUAAGCAGCUUGCUGCUUCGCUGACGAGUGGCGGACGGGUGAGUAAUGUCUGGGAAACUGCCUGAUGGAGGGGGAUAACUACUGGAAACGGUAGCUAAUACCGCAUAACGUCGCAAGACCAAAGAGGGGGACCUUCGGGCCUCUUGCCAUCAGAUGUGCCCAGAUGGGAUUAGCUAGUAGGUGGGGUAACGGCUCACCUAGGCGACGAUCCCUAGCUGGUCUGAGAGGAUGACCAGCCACACUGGAACUGAGACACGGUCCAGACUCCUACGGGAGGCAGCAGUGGGGAAUAUUGCACAAUGGGCGCAAGCCUGAUGCAGCCAUGCCGCGUGUAUGAAGAAGGCCUUCGGGUUGUAAAGUACUUUCAGCGGGGAGGAAGGCGAUGUGGUUAAUAACCGCGUCGAUUGACGUUACCCGCAGAAGAAGCACCGGCUAACUCCGUGCCAGCAGCCGCGGUAAUACGGAGGGUGCAAGCGUUAAUCGGAAUUACUGGGCGUAAAGCGCACGCAGGCGGUCUGUCAAGUCGGAUGUGAAAUCCCCGGGCUCAACCUGGGAACUGCAUCCGAAACUGGCAGGCUUGAGUCUCGUAGAGGGGGGUAGAAUUCCAGGUGUAGCGGUGAAAUGCGUAGAGAUCUGGAGGAAUACCGGUGGCGAAGGCGGCCCCCUGGACGAAGACUGACGCUCAGGUGCGAAAGCGUGGGGAGCAAACAGGAUUAGUGUUUUUGAUCCAACAAUAUCAG